AGCGAACGCUGGCGGCGUGCCUAACACAUGCAAGUCGAACGUGAAAGGGAGCAAUCCCCAGUAAAGUGGCGUACGGGUGAGUAACACGUAGGUAAUCUACCCCAGAAUCUGGAAUAACCGGCCGAAAGGCUGGCUAAUACUGGAUAGAGCGACGGAAUCCGUAAUUGGGUUUUUCGGGAAAGGGAGCCUGUAAAAAGGCCUUCGUUCUGGGAUGAGCCUGCGUCCCAUCAGCUAGUUGGUGAGGUAAAAGCUUACCAAGGCAAUGACGGGUAGCUGGUCUGAGAGGACGAGCAGCCAAACUGGAACUGAAGCACGGUCCAGAAUCCUACAGGAGGCAGCAGUGGGGAAUCUUGCGCAAUGGACGAAAGUCUGAAGAAGCAACGCCGCGUGAGUGAAGGAGGCCUUCGGGUUGUAAAGCUCUGUCGAGUGGGACGAAAAUGCUUGGAGUUCACAGCUCCAGGAACUGACGGUACCACUAAAGGAAGCACCGGCUAACUACGUG
rnacentral:rRNA from 1 species